ACACCCCACAUUCAAAUCUUUUUUUGAAUGGAACUUGGAGUUACAGUUUUACGACCGUACUCUUUAAUUAUAUUAGGCCUGAUCUUGUUUAGACUGCCUGAACUUUUUUUUAAUAUAAAGGAAAGUUUUGACAAAAUAAACUGUGCUGGGGCCUUUAAACAAUCUUUCUUAA
rnacentral:misc_RNA from 1 species